UCCUGACUGACCGAUAGUGAACCAGUACCGUGAGGGAAAGGCGAAAAGAACCCCGGCGAGGGGAGUGAAAAAGAACCUGAAACCGUGUACGUACAAGCAGUGGGAGCACGCUUAGGCGUGUGACUGCGUACCUUUUGUAUAAUGGGUCAGCGACUUAUAUUCUGUAGCAAGGUUAACCGAAUAGGGGAGCCGAAGGGAAACCGAGUCUUAACUGGGCGUUAAGUUGCAGGGUAUAGACCCGAAACCCGGUGAUCUAGCCAUGGGCAGGUUGAAGGUUGGGUAACACUAACUGGAGGACCGAACCGACUAAUGUUGAAAAAUUAGCGGAUGACUUGUGGCUGGGGGUGAAAGGCCAAUCAAACCGGGAGAUAGCUGGUUCUCCCCGAAAGCUAUUUAGGUAGCGCCUCGUGAAUUCAUCUCCGGGGGUAGAGCACUGUUUCGGCAAGGGGGUCAUCCCGACUUACCAACCCGAUGCAAACUGCGAAUACCGGAGAAUGUUAUCACGGGAGACACACGGCGGGUGCUAACGUCCGUCGUGAAGAGGGAAACAACCCAGACCGCCAGCUAAGGUCCCAAAGUCA
rnacentral:rRNA from 1 species